rnacentral:lncRNA from 1 species
GGGGCUUGUUGUUUACCUGGGGACUAAUGUCAACCUUGAGCCUAGGUAUCCACCUGGGGAAUAGUAUCCAGUUGCAGCCAGAUGUCCACCUAUGGCCUGAAGCAUGGUUGUUAUCCUAAGACCUUGUAUUAGUCCAUUUUCACACUGUUAUAAAAAACUACCUGAUAUUGGGCAACCUAUGAGGAAAAGAGGUUUAACUGACCCACAGUUCUUCAGGCUUAAUAGGGAGCAUGACUGGGCAUGCUCGGGACACUUACAAUCAUGAUGUAAAGCCAAGAGGAAGCAAGCCCUUUUUACCAUGGGGGAGGAGGAGGGAGAGAGAAGGGGGAUGUGCUACACACUUUCAAACAAACAGAUCUCAUAAGAACUCUAUCACGAGAACAGCAAGUGGGAAGUCUGCCCCCAUGAUUCAAUCACCUCUCACCAGGCCCCUUCUUCAACCCAUGUGGAUUACAAUUCAACAUGAGAUUUGGGUGGAGACAUAGAGCCAAUAUCAGGCCUGAUGCCCACCUGGAGUCGUGUCUACCUGAGGCCUAAUGUAGACAUGAGGCCUGGGCAUCCACCUAGGACCUCAUGUUAAGAUAGGGGCUGGAGUUCUUUUGGUGUCUAGUGUAUACCUGGGGCCCAGAUGUAAAACUAGAGCCUGAUGUUUCGGAUGGAAACCUGGGCCCCAGGUGCUCAUCAGAUCCUAGGUGAAAACUCAGGCUUCAGGUGCACGUCAGACUCCAAGUGGACACAUAGGCCCCAGGUUGACACUAAGAUUUCAGGUAGACUCUGGGUCCCAGAAAAACACCCCGCCCUAGGUGGACAGCUGAACCUGAGUAGACUUCAGGCCCCAGAUUGACAUCUGGCCCCAGGUAGAUUCCUAGGCCCAAGGUGAAUACUCAGUCUCCAGCCCUAGGGGAAUUCAGUCUUAGGUGACUAAGGACUGGUGUUCCUCUGGGGCCUCAUGUCUACCUGGGCCCUGGGAGUGCACAUGGAGCCAGAUGUCUAUAAAGGGCCUGAGUGUCCACUAGGGCCUGAGGUUCACCAGAAGCAUAGACACCCACCUAGGACCUCGUGUUCACCUAAAACCUGGUGUUCACCUGGGGCCUGGGUGACAACCUGGGAUCUGAUGUUCACCUGAGGCCCAGAGUUCAGCUGCUGCCUAUGUCAGCCUGGCACCUGAUGCACACGAGAGGACUAGGUGCCCACCUGAGGACUGGUGUUCUUGGGGAACUGGUGUUCAACUGUGGAUUGAUGACCAACUGGGUCCUGGUGUCCUCCUGGAACCUGAUGUCCACCUGGGACUGCAUGCUUACCUAGGGUCUGGUGUUCCUCUGGGACCUGGUGUACCCCUCAGACCUGGGGUCCACCUGGGCCUAGUAUCCACUUGGGGCCUCAUAUCCAUCUGGAACAUCAUGUCCAUUUGAGGCCUUGUAGUUACCUAGGGACUGGGUGUCCUUCUGACCCUUGAGUGUCCUCCUGGGGCCUGGGGUUCUCCUGGGGCCUGGGUGUACAUCAGAGCUCAGAUUGACACAAAGACCCCAGUAGAC